GCCACACCUCCUCCAGUAUGAUUGACUCGGUACAUUUUGUCACCUGUCUGGGUAGUUUUUCUACCAGGAGUCGGGUUCUUAGCGCCGAGGGUACCACUAUAUGUAAAGAACAACCGAAUAUCUAAAUUCUGCCAGCUGCGUCUACCAGAUUCCGGGUACUGUUGGAAAUAAUUAAGUCUUCAACUAGUAAAUUAAAGCACAUUUAAUAGAACAGUCGCCGAGCAUACAUUAGUGAAUGCUUAUUUAUUUGUAUAUAUUGACGUCAAGCAGCAACGUCAAAGUUAUAGAUUUACAAACGUGAUGACAUGCAGCGCCGCUUCACUUACAAAAAGCGUUUUUCCAGCAAUACCUAAAGUAGAGUUCUGCGUAAAAACAAUAUAUUUAUGGGUACCUAUGCUAAUGAAGAUUUGGUUUUACUUUUAAAACUGCUAAAACAAAUCAGUAAACCGAGAAAAACUUAUUGGAAUGCUGUAUCAAAUGUGUAAUACGUGAAAUGGAAUACUGCCUAAAACUAUCUGGUGCUUACUAAUACAUUACUGAAAAGAAUGCAAACACCGAAUCAUUUGUUGAGUUCCAAGAUUGUGUUGUCACGAACUUAUUGACAUAUUAAUGAGAAAGUUGAUAUAUCUUUACAUCUUUUGGAAUAAAAGUGGCAACAAUAAAAAAGGUUUGACUUUUCAAAGAAUCACAAUCCGAAGUUCAAAUUACAACAUAUCUCGAUGGAAUGGAGAACCAGGAAAUAAUAAAUUCUCCAAUACAUCUGUUUAGAAAUUUUUCAUCAGUCUGUAAUUUUUAUUACUUACUAGUGCAUAUAUGUGAGUAUUGUUACAUACAAAAAAGAAGAAUUUAUUCUUAUGACUCAUGUUAUAAAACAUUCUUCCAAUAAUUGCAUUCAAAGUUUUCUCUUUUGAUUCACCUAAUGAAGAAACUUCAUUUUAGCCAUAUAUGGUCAAAGGCAUUUAAAUUAUAUUCAUCUUGAAAAUUUAAUUGCAGAUCGGAAGUAAAGAGAUGUGUCGUGCUACUGACGUGCAGAAAAAAGUGUCUUAAGAACGCAAUUUUCUCAUUGACCACUUAACGGUCAAUGAAACCAUAUGCUUGCAAAGUUUGUGAUCUUUUCUCAGCUUCGGAAUUGAAAGAAUCGUUUAUUGGUGCAUACGAAAGAGAAACCACAUACAAUUGACAUUUGUAAUAAAGCAUUUUUUUUUAGCUGUCACAUUUAAAAAUUCAUUCAAUGUCGUGUACGAAUGAGAAAUCCUACGUUUGCAGCUUUUGCAACAAAGUCUUUACUAUGAUUUGGAAUUUAAAAAGACAUUUACAGCUGCAUACACAGAAGAAACAGUUUAUAUGCGAGUUUUGCAAAAAAACCUUUUCCCGGAAAGAGCAUUUAAAAGUACAUAUGCGUCUGCAUACGGGUGAGAAACCACAUACAUGUGAAUUUUGUAACAAAUCCUUUUCGGAUAAAAAGAGUUGCAUAAUACAUAUACGUUUUCAUACGGGAGAGAAACUAUAUGCAUGUGAUUUUUGCGGCAAACCCUUUUCGG